rnacentral:rRNA from 1 species
AGUGAACGCUGGCGGUAGGCCUAACACAUGCAAGUCGAACGGCAGCACAGUAAGAGCUUGCUCUUACGGGUGGCGAGUGGCGGACGGGUGAGGAAUACAUCGGAAUCUACUUUUUCGUGGGGGAUAACGUAGGGAAACUUACGCUAAUACCGCAUACGACCUACGGGUGAAAGCAGGGGAUCUUCGGACCUUGCGCGAUUGAAUGAGCCGAUGUCGGAUUAGCUAGUUGGCGGGGUAAAGGCCCACCAAGGCGACGAUCCGUAGCUGGUCUGAGAGGAUGAUGAGGCACACUGGAGAUUGGACACGGUAAGGACUACUGAGGGAGGCAGCAGUGGGGGAUGGGGGAAGAUGGGCGCGAGCCUGAUCAAGCCAUAGAGCGAGGGUGAAGAAGGCCUGCGGGUUGGAAAGCCCUUUUGUUGGGAAAUAAAAGCAGCAGGUUAAUAACCCGCGGGUCUGACGCUACCCAAAGAAUAAGCACCGGCAAACUUCGUG